UCAAGCCCAAGGUCCACCGCAUCAAGCGCGCCAAGGUCCACGCCAUCGAGUCCAUCUGCUGGACCUGCCACUGGACGCAAGAGGAGGACGGGAACAAGUGCGGCAAUCCCACGACGGACAUCCUUCGCGAUGCCUCCCAGUAAUCUUCCUUCCUUUGUGUUACUGCAUCAUCUGCUCCCUUGUGCAUAUAUAUAUAGCAGCACCAACUCACAAGAUGAAAUCCUUGUGUUUUUAUUUAUGCUGCAUUCGUUGACCUGGCCUGGCCGCCUACGGCUGCUCUGCUCCCACCCGUCGCCGAUUUGGUCUGUUGUGACCUGCCCGUCCUGGCUCCGCCAAUUUUACUCCGCUGUCCAGCACCACCUCGCAGGCGAUUCUAGGCUAGGUUAGCUCACUGGAACAAGCCAAGCUGAAUCCCAACUCCGCAACAAACCAUCAUCCGAGUCCUGGCCGCUUACAGCACCUGUCGGCGAUUUGGUCCGGUGUGACCUGGCCAUUCUGGCCAUGCAACUUCUGUUGGACUAAAACUACCUCGUUGGUAGAGAGACUGCCACAACAUUGGUGGUGCGGUGGUGAUGUACAAACACCCCCACUCUCCGAUAUCUGACACCAAGAUGGCGACUAGUCUUGUGAGUGACAGCCAGAUGUAGGCGCAUAUAUUGUCAUAAACUUUGACAUGCCUGAUUCUGCUGACCGGGUUGGAAGCGCUGGCUGUUUUGGUACCAAGAGGCUUUCAAUAACAUUUGAUUCUUCUUCCUCUAGUUCUGAUGUUCGAAAUCAGGUACAAUAAAGCUUCGAGGUUGACAUAAAAGGAGCUCAUCGCCACCGCCACUCCCUGGUUGGCCAGCCGACCUUAGCCUCAACACGGACUAUUAUGCUCCCGGCCCAUGGCUUCCUCACGCGGCCUCAUACUCUUCUUCCUGUUGAUCCUCGCCACUGCCAGCAGCCUAAAACUGUGGUUGGAUUCCAUUGGGUGUAGCCGGAUGCUGUUAGAUUUGCUGAUGAAAGACUGCUGGAUAAUUCAUACUGUACCAAGGGAAUUGCUGAUGAUGCGGACUCUGGGUACGGUGCGAAGGCACAUGAGAAAAUUGGCCAAGUUAGAGGAAGGGGCUUUAGACACGAGAAUACCAAGAUGAAGUGUGUUGGUGGCUGUCCACUGGAGCUGCUGCCGGCGUCCACUAAGGCCUGCUGCCCUUUCCUUCUUCGACUGUGACCUCUCCUGCCGUGAUGGUCUUCUUCUUCGACUCCAUGUGUUUCGGCGGGUGAUGCGGACUCUGGAUACAGCGCGAAGGCACAUGAGAUAAGUGGCCAUGUUAGAGGAAGGGUCUUUAGACACGAGAAGACCAAGAUGAAGUGUGUUGGUGGUGCUGUCCACUGGAGCUGCUACUGGCGUCCACUAAGGCCUGCGGCCCUUGCCUUCUUUGAUGGUGACCUCUCCACCGUGAUGUCCUUCUUCUUCUUUGACUCCAUGUGUUUAGAUGCAAGUUUUACAAGGCUGGUAGCAUCAUAUAUGGAGGCCUGGAGUGGGAAAGAACAGGAAGGGAAAGCUGAACUCCUCUUGCUUGCCAAACCAAUUGAAUACCUGGGUUGUAUUGGUUGUGGACUGUUAUUUGUGACUCCACAUCUGGAAUGUUGGGUGGUAGUCGACAAAGUAAUAUCGUGCUUGUGAUGCUCGAGAUUCGUGAUGCACGGUGAUGCUUGAGAUUCGUGAUGCUCGAUGAUGCUUGAGAUUCGUGAUGGAGUUGGGCUGUGCUGUUGAACUUUUAUUAAUUACUGUUUGUAUUGUGAUCU